ensembl:lncRNA
AAUUGCUUUCUAUUCUAGGCAGUUCUUUUAAAUUAAACUUUUGUGUCUCUCCCCCCUCCCCCGUAUCUUGUACAAGACAAAGCUACCUUUCCUCGUGGGAACGGACUGGCCGGGCUUUGGCAAUCUGGCCCCUCGAAAGACUAAAGUGACCUCUUCCAACAGGGGAAGACUUUCUGGCAAGCGGUGCCAGAAAGAACUGGAGUUUCUGGAGAAUAAAAGCUGGAAGCGUGCCCCUGAAAAUCCCCAGCCCUGGGUGGUCAGUGGUCUGACUUGCACGGACCGGUGGCCUUGGCCAGGAGCGGUCCUGCGGGAAGCGCCUUUGCCCAGGCUUUAAUUUUAAUUUCCCUUGGAUGCUUGGCAAAGCCCCUCUGGGUGAGCCCCAGUGCCUGGCAGGAGCAGAGCGGGCUUCCAGGGAGGUAUUCACCUGGUCAGCGUCAGGAACCAUCCUACCUGAGGCCUCGGUGAGUGCUUUUUGGACGACUGGACGGUGAAGCUGUCUGUGGGAAUGACCUGGCUAUUGCUCAGUGUAGUCCUAAAUAAAGUGUCUUUUACUCCGUGUUCCCAGGCUCCCUCUUUCCCUUCGGUCACCGUGGGUGUGCCGGACGCCUCUGGCAGGACUAACCCUGUGGCUUUUAUUCCAACGUGCCUGCAGGUCAUAUUUAUCUGCCUGUCAGAACUCUUGGAGCACUGGAUGGAGAGCAGGUCCUAUGAAGAGGAUUAUGGAGUAAAAGGCAGCUUGUACUUAAGUGCAGGGUGGUUGGUGUUUCUGCAGUGUUUGGCACAGGACUGGACUGAAUGCACUCCCUUUAUUCACCUUUUCAGAGAGUAUCGUCCAGAAUACGAGCGCCUGAGAAAAACACUGAGCAGGUGUUCAUUGCUGGGUUUCUGUGCAGACAGAAGUUGUCAGUGCACACACUCCCUUACCUUCAGCAAGCUGGUUUGUGUACAGCCGUUUCUGUUCCCUUCAAGGACCUGAUGCUUCUGCAAUGGGUCCCUCUGAGCUAAUACUAACACGAGGAACUCUCGAUGAAGAGCAAGAAGAGAGGGAGGGUGACGCUGAUGGCAUUGACCAUGAAGGUAAGGGAAUGAGGUCUAAAAGCUGCCUCUCAAGAAAUCCCCUCUGUAUUUCAUGACCUGGAUGGACUGUAAGGAGAGCCUAGAAAACAAGCAAACAUUCAGUCACCUGACGUGUCAGAAUCUGUAGCAGAAGCUCAGCUGCAAUGGUCAGUGCAGGGAUAUCACUCUGUAACCUUUGUGAAAGUUCAAUUGUAAAUUUUCUAUUCAAGUAAUUAAUAGGUGUAUAACACACAUAAACCAGAGAACUUGUUAGGCUUGGGGCAUGCAGUGACCUCUGAACCUGUUUGAUGCACAGAUGUGUCCAUCAUCUUUUUGGCCUUACAGUUUCUGCCCCUGGCUCUCUUCCCUUUUCCUGUGACUGUGGUCUUGGAGCAAUGUUCUAAGUUGUUACAGUGUGAUUUUUCUCUUAUAUAGCUCACAGACUUAAUCUUCAUUCUUUCCCUGUUUCACUGAUGGGUAGGAUCACUUAUUUCCUUUGCCCUAUAAUGUAGUUGAAGAUGGAAUAGACUUUCUAUGUUGCUUUGGCUAUCCUGAUUCUAGCUUUUUUUCAGAAGCACAAGUAGAACAAGUACUGAAAUAGCGCUGAACUUCAACAGCAACGGGGACUGCGCAGGAGAAGGAGGGUGGGCAGCGGGCCUGGGGCGGGCAGGGGGAUGGGGGUGGGGGCGGGCACUU